rnacentral:lncRNA from 1 species
UGGGACACACUCAUCUCCAAUUGUUGAGGUACACAUACAUGUGGGUGUUGGGACACACUUAACUCCAAUUGUUGAGGCAUACAUAUAUGUAGGUGUUGGGACACACUUAACUCCAAUUGUUGAGGUACAGAUAUAUGUGGGUGUUGGGACACGCUGAUCUCCAAUUGUUGAGGUACAGAUACAUGUAGGUGUUGGGACACACUGAUCUCCAAUUGUUGAGGCAUACAUAUAUCUAGGUGUUGGGACACACUUAUCUCCAAUUGUUGAGGUACACAUACAUGUGGGUGUUGGGACACACUCAUCUCCAAUUGUUGAGGUACAGAUACAUGUGGGUGUUGGGACACACUCAUCUCCAAUUGUUGAGGUACACAUACAUGUGGGUGUUGGGACACACUCAUCUCCAAUUGUUGAGGUACACAUACAUGUGGGUGUUGGGACACACUCAUCUCCAAUUGUUGAGGUACACAUACAUGUGGGUGUUGGGACACACUCAUCUCCAAUUGAUGAGGUACACAUACAUGUGGGUGUUGGGACACGCUGAUCUCCAAUUGUUGAGGUACAGAUACAUGUAGGUGUUGGGACACACUCAUCUCCAAUUGUUGAGGUACACAUACAUGUAGGUGUUGGGACACGCUGAUCUCCAAUUGAUGAGGUACAGAUACAUGUGGGUGUUGGGACACGCUGAUCUCCAAUUGUUGAGGUACAGAUACAUGUAGGUGUUGGGACACACUCAUCUCAAAUUGUUGAGGCAUACAUAUAUCUAGGUGUUGGGACACACUUAACUCCAAUUGUUGAGGCAUACAUAUAUCUAGGUGUUGGGACACACUUAACUCCAAUUGUUGAGGCAUACAUAUAUCUAGGUGUUGGGACACACUUAACUCCAA